rnacentral:lncRNA from 1 species
AGCUACAAGCUUAUUUCAUUGUAUUUUUUAUUUAUUAUUAUUCAAUAUUUUUUUACAGUCUAGUGGUUAUCCCCCUCCUGGUUUGCCCCCUGACUCUUCCUCAUCUAACAACUCCUCCCCCAUCUCCAAGAUGAUAUCCCUACCUCCCCAACGCCCAGCCCUUCCCAAUCCCUGGAGACUUAAGUCUCUCUGGGGUUAGGUGUGUCUCUCCCACUGAUGCUAGACCAGGCAGUCUUAUGCUGCAUAUUUGUUGGGGGCUUCACAUCAGCUAGUGUAUGAUCUCUGGUUAGAGGCUCAAUGUCUGAGAGAUCUUGCUUGUCCAGGUUUGUUGAGAAUGCUGGUCACCCUCCUCCUCAGCUUCUUCCCAAUAUUCCCAAUUCAUCCAGAGAGUCCCUGGGCUUCUGAUCAUUGUUGGAUAUAAUAUAUUUUUAUUUGACAGCAGAAAAGGAACAUUUCCUCCUUAGACUAUUGGCCAGUAGAUUGAAGAACAGAUGAAAAAAGUAAGUAUUUUCUUAUGUGUGUGCUCUUACUGGAAGUCAGAAAAUAUGUUCUGAUUUCAUCUUUGCUGAUUAUUUAGUUAGUCUGUGUUUCUCAUUGAUUAUUUGAUUUGGUAGAUGGUUUUUAUGUGUAACCCUGUCUUCCUAGAUCUCAUUUUUCUACACAAAGUGGUGGAUUCAACUGCCUUAUCAACAUUUUUUGGCUGUUACCAGAGGGCCGUCUCCAUGAAAGCAAAAUAAAGAAUAAAAUUGUAAUAAUUAGAGAGUUUAGUUCUCUGAGAGAAAAUGAAGAAAGUGAAUGAGUGCAAGAUUUUAUGGACACUGUAGGGAAGUUCAGUAGAUAUGAUACUUCCUGAUAUCACUAGAGCAACCAGUGAGAGUGAUUCUAAAACUAGACACAUGCACUAUAACCCAAUAUUUGGUGGGUAUGUACCAACUUUACAUUUGACAGAAUUCCUAAAUAUUUGUUCAGAAAUAUGAUUUUUCCCUGAUCUUUUGGGUAGAAUUUCUCUCUGGUCGCAUAAAAAUGAUAUAAAUCUUGGGUACAAAAAUACAUCCAAGGAUCCCUGCACUGGAUGCCAAGAUGGAGAAGAUCUCCACAGCAACCAUGUGUUUGCCCUUGGUGCUAUGGUAGACAGGGAGGAAGGUGACCCAGACACUGCAGAACACUAGCAUGCUGAAGGUCAAGAACUUGGCUUCAUUGAAUGUGUCAGGCAGAUUCUUGGCCAAGAAAGCCAGAGAGAAGCUUCCAAGUGCCAUGCAGGCCAAAUAUCCCAGGAUACAGUAGAAUGCAGUAUCUGAGCCCUUGUUGCACACAAUGAUGAUGUGGCCAUGGAGAGUGUGUUCAUCAAUAUCAACAAAGGGAGGAGAAACUGCUAGCCAGAUUGCACACAGAACACAUUGGAGUAGGGAACAUAUAGGAAUAAUGUAGUUGGGUGUCCCUGAUACAAGGAAGUUCCUCAAUCUUCUCCCUGGGUCUGUGACUUUGAAAGCCAGAACCACAGUGACUGUUUUGGCCAGAACUGUGGAAACAGCCACAGUGAAUACAAUUCCAAAUGUGAUUUGCUGUAAGACACAGAUGGCUCUGUUUGGAAGGCCAAUGAAGAAAAAGGAGCACAGAAAACAGAACAUGAGUGACAUGAGUAAUAGGUAGCUGAGGCUUCUGUUAUUGGCCUUCACAAUAGGAGUGUCAUGGUGCUUCACAAAGACACAAAGUACCACAGCUGUGAAUGCAGAGAAGCAGAAGGCCAUUAAGGCAAGUGCCAUCCCCAAGGGGUCUUCAUAGCUUAGGAAGGUGACACCUUUCUGAAUACAUUUGUUCUGUUCUGUGUUGGCAUAUUGGUAUUCUGGACAAUUCACACAUUGAUCCAUAUCUGAUUUCCAAAGGAAAGCUUAGUUAGGUCUGCUUCAGAAAUUUUAUUGUCAAGGUAAUUCAAGUAAGGGUAAUGAAAGAAGCCUUGCAAUGCUGCCUUUGAUGCUGAUAUGUAAUGUGAAGGAUGCUGUUGCCGAGCAUUGAUUUCAAUUCAUAAUGUUCAUAAAGAUUUAAAUGAAAUAAAACAAAGCAAUUUGUUCUUUGU